rnacentral:rRNA from 1 species
GACGAACGCUGGCGGCGCGCUUAACACAUGCAAGUCGAGCGAAGCGGCGGACGGGUGAGUAACACGUGAGUAACCUGCCUUAGACAUUGGGAGAGACUCGGGAAACCGGGAUUAAUACCAAAUGGUCUAAGAGGGACUCGCGUCCCAUUAGCUAGUUGGUGGGUAACGGCCCACCAAGGCGACGAUGUGUAGCCGGCCUGAUAUGGUGAACGGCCACUUUUGAACUGAGAAACGGUCCAAACUCUACGGGAUGCAGCAGUGGGGAAUAUUGCACAAUGGAGGUAACUCUGAUGCAGCGACGCCGUGUGAACGAAGAAGUCUUUCGAGUCGUAAAGUUCUUUUAUAUGUGUAGCGGUACCAUCAGAAAAAGCCCCGGCUAACUACGUUCCAGCAGCCGCGGUAAUUC